rnacentral:misc_RNA from 1 species
AAAUUUAAAUAUACAUAUAUUUUUAUGUUGGAUGCUUAGCAUAUUGUUGAAAUGUGGAUCCCUCAUUGUAUGGGUUGUGCCAGGAGCUGUGGAGCAUGAAAUUUAUUGGUUAAAUGAUAUAUGUUCUUGGAGACUGCACAUAUCUAAUUGAAUUUAAUGCCAAUUGGAUUUGGGCUUGCUUUCUAUUAAGGUAACUAAGAUAGGUUGUACAUGCCAUACUAAGAUCUGGUCAUGGAGAUGGUAUUUGUAAAUGUAUCUAAGUUUACAAUUAUCAAAAGACCUAAGUUUCCAUGUCAAUUGUAUUUUUUUUUUCCUAAAAUGUGCUUCGGGUAACUUCUUCAAAUAUAGUGUCCCAUAAGUAAACUCGCAUUGUAGACAGAUCAUUAUCUUGAGCUCGCAUUGUAGAUAGAUCAUUAUCUUGAGUGUGAAUCUGUAGCAGUAUUGAAAUUUGUGUAAGAUCUCAGUUUGUUCUAAAUUUAUA